ACGUCUGUGUGUGUGCUUCAGUCACAGAAGGGGGUGAGAAGUGGGAAGAGGGGAUUUGCAUAGAACCUCCAAUUUUCCUUAUUUCCUAGGGAGUUGAUGAUUUCAGCCAAAUAUAAGUCUUAACGUUACAUCUGCAAUGGAAAAACAAGUCAAACUCAGCAAAAAGGAGCCCUGAAGAGACAGAGUUAAGUGCUUCCGUGAUGAGAGUAGAGUUGGCCUAUGCUGUCCCUCCCAGGACUCCUUUACCCAAGAGAAAGAGAGAGUGUGCAUCCAAAGGGGAGUGAAAAUAGAAUAUAAAUAGGGAAAAUAGAACCAUUCAGAGCAGUUCAGGGAUCUUUACUACUCUGACAUGGAAGGAAGAAGGAGGAGAAGAGAAAAGAUGAACGGACCUUGAACCUGGGAUAUCGCUCAUGUGACUGCUACAUUGGUAAAAUGAAGGCAAUACUAAAAUCUACCUCCAGAUGGGACUGUGAGGACCAGAUGAGAUGCUGUUUUAAAGCCCCGAGACCCCAGCACACAAAUUUCUGCAUCUCUGGAGAUCUAUGGGAUGGCUCUGGGCUCCAGAUUGCAGCGAUCACUGUGGAGCAGCAACCAUCUCUCCAUCCUGGCUCCAUUGAGCUUCUGCUUCUGUCAUAUCUGCGCUCCCCAUUGGCACUGCCCGCCUGGCGCUCACCCAGUCUGGUCUGACACUUGCUGCUGAGGAUGGGGCGGGGACCCAGGCAGGCUUCCAAUUCUUUCAUGAGCUGGGUGCUGCCUGAAGCCAGUGAACUGUGAAGCCCUGUUGUAAAGGCUUCAGAGGGCCCCAGCAUGGCGGGGUGGGGGCACCGAGCCACGGGAAGUGUGUGAGCAAAGAGGGCUGCUGAGAGUAAAUUAGCUCCUGGCUUUGAGUCCUGCUGA
rnacentral:lncRNA from 1 species